UACGUAGGGUGCGAGCGUUAAUCGGAAUUACUGGGCGUAAAGCGUGCGCAGGCGGCUUUGUAAGCCGGGUGUGAAAUCCCCGGGCUUAACCUGGGAAUGGCAUUCGGGACUGCAAGGCUGGAGUGCGGCAGAGGAGACUGGAAUUCCUGGUGUAGCAGUGAAAUGCGUAGAUAUCGGGAGGAAUACCAGUGGCGAAGGCGGCCUUCUGGACGGAUACUGACGCUGAGGCGCGAAAGCCAGGGGAGCAAACGGG
rnacentral:rRNA from 1 species